GAUGCUGAGCGCUGAAAUUCUCAUCCGCCACACACAACAUGGCGGCUUCCUGGACCCGCGCCCAAUUUUCGCUUCCGGGAUGGAAGCUACGUCAUUUCCCCCUCUGUUGCCCUAGCGCCCCUUGGAAGCCAAGAAUAUGAGGAAGUCUUCUUCCUUCGCGCCUUCUUCUUCCUUACGCUCCAGGGCAGCCUGACAGAGCCGCUCGAAGGCUCUGCUGGCCGCGGCUAGCCGGUUUACCCAUUCCACUGGACCCAGCCACCACCCACUCCUGCUGUCUGGUAAACUUUCCUCCUGUUUCUGGGGCCAUGUCUGGCAUGAAGAGUUUUUACUGAAUAGUUUUCAUUGAUCGCAGGCCAGUUCUCUCUUCUCACCCCUUUAUUGAAGUGACAGUGAAAAUCUAAGUGAGAAAGCACUGUUACAGGGGCUGAAAAGGCUACAGGAGACCAGAGCCAUUGACUUUUAUUUUUAAAAUGAAGAUCUCUUUUACUUGAAGGAACUUAAGAAUUUUGGCAUUCAAAUAGGGGCUGGAAGACUUGAAAGCAGUAGAAAUUUCACCACAGGUGAUAGGAAAGGAUGAUCACGAAAUGAAUAUCUCCUGACUUGCACACCUAGUGAGCAGAGCCAGGAAGGACCUCCUUCACCUUAGCAUUUGGAACAGGCUGCAAAGUUCAUUCUUCCUCAUAGCAGCCCCUGCAUUCAGUUUGGUUUAGUUGUUUUAUGUGGUUUCUAGCCUGAUUUUUUUUUUCAGGGUGCAGCAGAAGUCUCAGGUAGCUGAGAAGUUCAUGGAAUCUUCUUAUUUGCUACACCUUUCACUACUGCUUGUGAUAUAGUGCAGGGUUGGGAUGUGCAGACAUUUCUCAAGUGCACUGUGUACCUACACAGCAUGCUGCAAUUUGGCUACUGAAGUCAAGAGAAACUGGUUUGAACAACUACUGAGUGUAACAUAGGAAGCGCAUUUCAUUUGAUAACAGGAACACAGCUUUUGUGCUAAUAAAAUGCUUUGAAAAUUUUCCCCUUCGCCAAUCAGCAGUUGCAAAAAGUCCUCCAGGAAAAGUCUGGAUGCCAGAAAGCCGUACCUGAGGGAGGCAGAAUUGCAUGGCAGUGGGCUACAUGGGCUCCAGAGUUGGCCAAUGUGUGGCCUCUAACAAGUAUCUUGCCUCCUCUAUGCCUCAGUUUCCUUCUCUGUAAAGUGUGGGUGAUGAUGUUUACUUUUUAGUUGUCAUGAAGGUGAGGGAUGAUGAUGCUUAGCACAGUGUCUGACACUUUACAGCAAGCGCCACGAUCCACUGUUGUCAUCGGGACUUUUGUCAUCCUCAGUGCUGCCACACGUUUGCCCUGGGUCCUUGAGCAAAUUGGCUCUUUUCUGUGGCCCCCUUGUUC
rnacentral:lncRNA from 1 species